GAAACCAAUAUGGUAAAGUUUAUAGUUUAGAGUUGUAGGUGGUUAGUGCAGAUUUAAUAUGAUGUUGUAAUUGAAAUUUUGUUGUGAAAUGGUGCAAUAUGGUUAUAGCAGAUAAUUCUUGGGUUGUCAAUUUGGCUGAGGCUACGAAGGUUUUAAAAUAAACUGGGAUUAGAUACCCCAUUAUUUAAAACUGUAAAUUGGUUAUAUAUCUACUAGGGGACUACGAACUAUUGUUUAAAAUUCAAAGAACUUGGCGGUGUUUUGGAUUUUUAGGGGAACUUGCUUUUGAAUCGAUGAUCCACGUUAUACAUUACCUUAAUUGGCAUUCAGUUUGUAUAUCGUUGUCAUAAGUUAAUAUUGUAAAAUAUUGGCUGGAGAAUUUAAUAUGUUUUUAUGUCAGAUCAAGAUAUAGCUUAUAUUAAGGGUAUGGUGAGUUACAAUUGUUAUAAUACAUUAACGGAUAUAAAAAGGAAGAUUUUUAUGGAAGGUGGACUUAAAAGUAAAUUGGUGUAUAAAGAUGAUUUGAAUGAGUAUCUGAAAUGUGU
rnacentral:rRNA from 1 species